UUUUUAUUAGACUUCCUAAUUUAGAUUGGCAAUCGUACAUAAAAAUUACACAAUACAAAAUAAACAUUGCAACAUGGUGUGUAAAUAUUGUACACAGUGCAAGGUAGUGUCUCUGAAAUAUGAAAAUGAAAUAGCAAUACCAAAAAAAGAUGAAAAUUUUAAAUGGGGCAAAAUGGUCAAAUGAAGCCAUUAAAGAGAACAAAAAGAAUUUAUAAAAGAAGGAAAAAAAACUGAAAACACGUUCAUAAUUGGGAAAAACAUUAUUAAAAAAAAAAGAAAUUGGAAAAACCGCGUAGCGUAGCUAUGACGCGGCAAAGUACUAUAAAAGACCGACGACCGACGACAUUUGGCUCUCUCUCUCUUUCUCGCAAUACCCACGACCAUUGCUCUCUCUCUCUCUCUCUCUCUCUCUCCCCUUUUCAAAUUUGAAUCGUCUCUCUCUUUGACGCUCUACGUCAAAUAUCGUCGAUCAACCGGUAGCCGGAUCAAAUGGCCGACGCCGACGAGCUUGACGAAAUCGUCCGCCGAAAGCUGGGGGCUUUGAUCUCAAGAGUUACCCAGGAAAUCGAAUUCCGUUGGGGCGACGAGUGCCUUCCACUGCCGAGAAUACUUCUUCAUGUUCUGGAUCCAGUGGAGGCCCUCAUUUCUUUUGAAUUGCAGAGAAUAAAAAACUCUCCGACUUGGGAAGCCGCGGAAAGAAAGCGGAAAAUCAGAAAUUUGAUGGCCAUGCGUUGAAUUUUGUUUCUUUUGUUUCUGACAUUUUUUCUUAAUUAGGGUUUUUUUUUUGGCAGGGCCCGAUGGACUUGGUUUCGACUGCUCUGCAGCUCAAAACGAGAUUGGAUACUCACUGGAAAGGGGUUUGUUAUAUGAGACUACUGGCCCUAGGUGAUGAUUGGGAAAAAAAUUUCAAGGUAUGGACUACGAUAAUACAUUAUUUUGAGUGAAGUGCAUGACUCUACAAGUAUUUUUCCAAUUUCAUGUUUCAUGUAAUUUCUGUGUAUAACCUUUUCCGAGCAGAGUGUAUGAGCAUUGCAGGUUUAGUUGUUAAAAUUCUUUGGUGUAUUAGGAAAAUUUGACUACUCAAUUUAGCUUUUAUAUUUAACUAUUCAAUUUGGAGUGUUUAAGUUAAUUACACUGCAAUUGACUGUUAGUGCUAGUUAAGAAGCUUCGAAUGCUACUUCCAAAUCCUAUUGUGUAACUUACUUAUAAUACUUGUUGGAGAAAUAAUAAUUAGGUGUCUUAGCUGAUCCUAAAAUGCUGGAAUGCUUUUGGCAUUUGAAUUACAGCAGUGGUGCUUGCUUUAUUGUUUGUUAUUUUUGUCAAGGAAUUAUUAUUAUUUUUUUGUUUUUCCAUAGUUAAAUGCAGGCUAUGGCUAAAGUAAUAUGUAACUGAUUUUGGAGAUAACGAAAUAUGAAAGUUCAAUAAUGUAGCCCAGCUUAGGGAAAUCUUUGUUGUUGUUGAGGCGUGAAGUACGAGUAUGUAUGUUUGCCUUUUUCCCCUGAAUGAAAUUCAACAUAAAUAUCAGAUCUUUAGCAUUCUUCAGUAUCUUUAAAAACAAUAGCGCACAAUCAAGGCUCGGUCAUUUCAACACCUCCAUCUUUACUUGGUCCUUUCGACUAAAGAUGAAUUGCAGAUCCAGUUCAAAGAAGUUUGCAUUGAAUUUCUUUUCCUUUUCCCUAUAUUCAUUUGUGUACAAAUUGGUUGCAUCAACUUGAUACAUUUCUUUAAUUUUACCAUAGUUGUUUUAUCAAUAAAUCUCUUGUUUCUAUAGGCAAAGUUUGAUAUUUCUUUGUUCAAUCUCUGAUAUGUAUGGAGAGUUUCAUUGAUAGCAGUUGUUCUUUUGCGGACAUCUUACAAUAAUCUUUUGUGAUCAAUGCAGUUUGCAGCUUCCCUCUAUUGUCUCAAGUUGGUUUUGUCACACUGUGGUGAUAGGUGUAUGUAAGGGAAUGCCAAUUUCACCAUGCUAGAGUUAAUCAAUCUCAUAUUAAUUUGAACUUUGGAACUUUAUAUUGAUCUUGUUGGAAAUAUUUUGCAGCACUGGUGUUAGCUUUCAUGCUGUAUUCCAUAUACGAGCAGUAUGAAUCAGAAGUUGCGAAGCUUCUGUUCAAUAGUAUAAUGCUGGUUUUUGGAUUUUUUUUAGAACAAAUCUACCUGCUUCUGUGCAACUAUUUCUUGAAAAACAUGGAAUUUUGAUGCGUCACAUGUGACAAUUAGCAUCAGAAGUAGCUGCCACUACAACUUGGAUGGCAUUUGGGCUUAGUUUUUCUAACUGGACAAAUUCAAUGUUCUGCUAGUUUAGGGUUGUAUGAAAAUAUAUAUUUCGUGUAAACUCAACAAAAGAAUUACCACAUUACAAACUCUUCUCCUUUUGUUAGCGUUAACCAUAAAGUUUAGGCGGUAUAAAUCAAUGCCUUUUGUCA